GAGAGGGAGAGCGCGGCCGACGGUGGCACAUCUUGUGCCGCUGAGGAAAGUCCUUCCACCGGCCAGACACGCAGCCGCACCCAAGUGCGGGUGGCGAGAGUCACGGCAAUGACACAGAAACGACACGGCCCGCCGUCAGUGAUGAAACGAUCGAGCCCACACACCGCGGGCGAGCGGCGCGGGUUUAUUCCCGCGCAACUCGUUGAACGCAGCGGCGGGAAACGAUGAAACGGUGAAUCCCUGCGGGUGCAAGCCAGAAUAGGGCAUAUGGACUGUCUGGCGUCCGCCCGGGUAUGGCGCUUAGCUGAAUGCCGCACCAAACAGAAGAAGGCUUACUCCUCCCACUC
rnacentral:RNase_P_RNA from 1 species